rnacentral:rRNA from 1 species
UACGAAGGGGGCUAGCGUUGCUCGGAAUUACUGGGCGUAAAGGGCGCGUAGGCGGCCAUUCAAGUCAGAGGUGAAAGCCCAAGGCUCAACCUUGGAACUGCCUUUGAUACUGUUUGGCUUGAGACCGGUAGAGGUAAGUGGAACUGCGAGUGUAGAGGUGAAAUUCGUAGAUAUUCGCAAGAACACCAGUGGCGAAGGCGGCUUACUGGACCGGUUCUGACGCUGAGGCGCGAAAGCGUGGGAGCAAACAGG